rnacentral:rRNA from 1 species
UACGGAGGAUGCGAGCGUUAUCCGGAUUCAUUGGGUUUAAAGGGUGCGCAGGCGGACGGCCAAGUCGUGGGUGAAAUCCCGCCGCUCAACGGUGGACGGUCCUACGAUACUGGUCGACUGGAGUUCUGGUGGCGCGGCCGGAAUGUGACGUGUAGCGGUGAAAUGCAUAGAUAUGUCACAGAACGCCGAUCGUGAAGACAGGCCGCGAACCGGAGACUGACGCUCAUGCACGAAAGCGUGGGUAUCAAAC